rnacentral:rRNA from 1 species
AUUGAACGCUGGCGGCAUGCUUAACACACGCAAGUCGAACGGUAACAGGCCCUUCGGGGUGCUGACGAGUGGCGGACGGGUGAGUAAUGCUUAGGAAUCUGCCUGGUAGUGGGGGAUAACCCGGGGAAACUCGGGCUAAUACCGCAUACGCCCUACAGGGGAAAGCGGGGGACUUUCGGGCCUCGCGCUAUUAGAUGAGCCUAAGUCCGAUUAGCUAGUUGGGUAGGGUAAUGGCCUACCAAGGCGACGANCGGUAGCUGGUCUGAGAGGACGACCAGCCACACUGGGACUGAGACACGGCCCCAGACUCCUACGGGAGGCAGCAGUGGGGAAUAUUGGACAAUGGGCGCAAGCCUGAUCCCAGCGAUGCCGCGUGUGUGAAGAAGGCCUGCGGGUUGUAAAGCACUUUCAGUAGGGAAGAAAAGCCGAGUGCUAAUAUCACUCGGUCUUG